AUACGUAGGGGGCGAGCGUUGUCCGGAAUGAUUGGGCGUAAAGGGCGCGUAGGCGGCCUGUUAAGUCUGGAGUGAAAGUCCUGUUUUCAAGAUGGGAAUUGCUUUGGAUACUGAUGGGCUUGAGUGCAGGAGAGGUUAUCGGAAUUCCCGGUGUAGCGGUGAAAUGCGUAGAGAUCGGGAGGAACACCAGUGGCGAAGGCGGGUAACUGGACUGCAACUGACGCUGAGGCGCGAAAGUGUGGGGAGCAAACAGGAUUAGAUACCCUGGUAGUCCACACUGUAAACGAUGAAUGCUAGGUGUUGGAGGGUUUCCGCCCUUCAGUGCUGCAGCUAACGCAUUAAGCACUCCGCCUGGGGAGUACGGCCGCAAGGCUGAAACUCAAAGGAAUUGACGGGG
rnacentral:rRNA from 1 species